UACGUAGGGGGCAAGCGUUGUCCGGAUUUAUUGGGCGUAAAGAGCGUGUAGGCGGUUUGGUAGGUCCGCUGUGAAAACUCGAGGCUCAACUUCGAGACGCCGGUGGAAACCAUCAGACUAGAGUCCGGAAGAGGAGAGUGGAAUUCCUGGUGUAGCGGUGAAAUGCGCAGAUAUCAGGAAGAACACCCGUGGCUAAGGCGGCUCUCUAGUACGGUACUGACGCUGAGACGCGAAAGCGUGGGGAGCAAACAGG
rnacentral:rRNA from 1 species